UUUUUGUGUGUGUGUCAGCCUGAGCUGACCUCGAACUCGUGACCCUCCUGACUCAGCCUCCGGGCUCCUGGGAUUAUGGGCAUGCACCACCAUGCCAGGUCCCAGUCCCCACUCUCCCCAGGCCUUUCAGAUUAGGGCUCGGGCUAAGGGUGGGGACAAGCACCCCGGCCCUGACCACCUUCCAACACGGUUCCCUCCACCAGGGGCAGAGGCGUCAUCGUCAACGUGUCCUCCAUAGCCAGCCAAUUUGGCAUCCUGUCUCCUGCCUGAAAGCCACUAAGGACUUUGUGCAGCGCUUCUCCGCGGCUGUGGGCGCAGAGUACACCCCUCAUGGUGUCACCAUCCAGACGGUGAGCCCCUCGUUUGUCGCCACAAACAUGAUCAACAACAAGUCAACCGGGCUGCUGGUGAAGAGUGCCGACGAGUUCGCCCGCACGGCCUUGGACACGCUGAGCCUCUCCUCCCACGUCUGUGGCUGCCUCAGCCACGAGCUGCAGAGCUUCCUGCUGCCUUUCAUCAUACCCGUAUGGCUUACCAACAGUCUCUGGGGAAUCCGGCUUCUGUCUCUAGGAAGCAAGGUCAAAUUUUUCUCCUUGCUUCAACGCGCGACAGGGCGAUCACAGCGAAGAUGCCUUCCGGAAGGUCUCAGGUCGGAACAAAGAGACAAGCAGGCUGAUGGGACACUGGAGGUUGGGUGAUGAGGACGGCCUCACUCCCCUCUGGCAGAAAGAUGGAGUUUUUAAUAUGCACUGUAAAAAGCUAGACAACCCUUUGGUGACAUUUAAAAAAUUUUUUUUCUGGCACCGGGGAUCGAACUCAGGACCUUGUGCUUGCAAGGCAGGUGCAGCGCCCGUCAGCUAAAUCCCUGGCAGGUGACAUUUUUAAAUUUAAAAAAAUGAAAUUGUAGUGGUGGUUGCACACCUUAGUGAAUGUACUGAAAACUUAGGAAUUGUAAACAUUAAAAGGGUGAAUCUUAUGUGGGUGAUAUCUCCAUAAAAAUAAUUUUAAAAUGGAGUCUCUCAAUGUGUAAAAACUGUAUUCCUUCCUUCCUUACAUCAUGCACAACAUAAGCUUGAAAUGAAUCAGCACUCCCCACAUAAAAAGGGAAACAGAAUUGCUGGAGUACA
rnacentral:lncRNA from 1 species